rnacentral:rRNA from 1 species
CCUACGGGGGGCAGCAGUGGGGAAUAUUGCACAAUGGGGGGAACCCUGAUGCAGCCAUGCCGCGUGAAUGAAGAAGGCCUUCGGGUUGUAAAGUUCUUUCGGUGACGAGGAAGGUUGGUAGGUUAAUAGCCUAUCAAAUUGACGUUAAUCACAGAAGAAGCACCGGCUAACUCCGUGCCAGCAGCCGCGGUAAUACGGGGGGUGCGAGCGUUAAUCGGAAUAACUGGGCGUAAAGGGCACGCAGGCGGUGACUUAAGUGAGAUGUGAAAGCCACGAGCUUAAGUUGG